GCAUCGGUAGUGUAAUGAAUUAGCACGGCAGACCGGAUAUCUGCAAGUGCAGGUUCGAGUCCCACUCGAGGUU
rnacentral:tRNA from 1 species